rnacentral:rRNA from 1 species
GGGGUCCAUUCCACGGAUUCCGUGACGCAGCUAACGCAUUAAGUUCCCCGCCUGGGGAGUACGGCCGCAAGGCUAAAACUCAAAGGAAUUGACGGGGACCCGCACAAGCGGCGGAGCAUGCGGAUUAAUUCGAUGCAACGCGAAGAACCUUACCAAGGCUUGACAUAUACGAGAACGGGCCAGAAAUGGUCAACUCUUUGGACACUCGUAAACAGGUGGUGCAUGGUUGUCGUCAGCUCGUGUCGUGAGAUGUUGGGUUAAGUCCCGCAACGAGCGCAACCCUCGUUCUAUGUUGCCAGCACGUAAUGGUGGGAACUCAUGGGAUACUGCCGGGGUCAACUCGGAGGAAGGUGGGGAUGACGUCAAAUCAUCAUGCCCCUUAUGUCUUGGGCUUCACGCAUGCUACAAUGGCCGGUACAAAGGGCUGCAAUACCGCGAGGUGGAGCGAAUCCCAAAAAGCCGGUCCCAGUUCGGAUUGAGGUCUGCAACUCGACCUCAUGAAGUCGGAGUCGCUAGUAAUCGCAGAUCAGCAACGCUGCGGUGAAUACGUUCCCGGGUCUUGUACACACCGCCCGUCAAGUCAUGAAAGUCGGUAACACCUGAAGCCGGUGGCCUAACCCUUGUGGAGGG